rnacentral:tRNA from 1 species
GCAGGCGUGGUCGAAUGGUUACGCUGUUCGCUUUGUAAGCGGAUGGCCAUGGGUUCGAUUCUCAUAUCUGCU